GAUGAACGCUGGCGGCGUGCCUAAUACAUGCAAGUCGAGCGAACAGACGAGGCGCUUGCUCCUCUGACGUUAGCGGCGGACGGGUGAGUAACACGUGGAUAACCUACCUAUAAGACUGGGAUAACUUCGGGAAACCGGAGCUAAUACCGGAUAAUAUAUUGAACCGCAUGGUUCAAUAGUGAAAGACGGUUUUGCUGUCACUUAUAGAUGGAUCCGCGCCGCAUUAGCUAGUUGGUAAGGUAACGGCUUACCAAGGCAACGAUGCGUAGCCGACCUGAGAGGGUGAUCGGCCACACGGGAACGGAGACACGGUCCAGACUACUACGGGAGGCAGCAGUAGGGAAUCGGCCGCAAUGGGCGAAAGCCUGACGGAGCAACGCCGCGUGAGUGAUGAAGGUCUUCGGAUCGUAAAACUCUGUUAUGAGGGAAGAACAAAUGUGUAAGUAACUAUGCACGUCUUGACGGUACCUAAUCAGAAAGCCACGGCUAACUACGUG
rnacentral:rRNA from 1 species